AGGACACCUCUUAAAAGACAAACGAUGAUGGGCCAAGGCCCAUGCCACUGGUAUCAGUUGUGUGUGUGUCACAUUUUUCACAAAUCUCCAUAGAAAGGAAGGAAGAGAGAAAGCCUGCAGGGAAUUUGUAAGAAAAUAUUUUGAGUGAAACAAAGGGUAAAUAAACUGACAAUCUACUGUCUUUUCCUAAGGAGGAAGAAAUUUCAACAUUGGUGGAUUCCUCUCAGGGAAUAUUUUACACUCAUUAAGUAUGAAAAAAAUGUCUUAUUGCAAGGAAAAGGAAAAAGUAAAUUCUGAUCAUAUAAGCGUCUAGGAAACAUGGGUGAUGCUGCUGACCUACAGUGCAAUCUCGUUUUAAUGAAAAAAAGUCUGAAAAAAACUCUGGCAGCCUACACAGCCCAAAUCAAGGCUUUCAUAAGCAGGUAUUGCCACCUUU
rnacentral:lncRNA from 1 species